GGUGCCUUUACUAAAGGUAAAUGGCGUCAGACCCACCCUCUCAGUAGAACCCACUCAUACAGCUCAGGCUUUUAAACGCUGAUCUCUGGUUCCAUGUGUUUAGAGAAUAGAAAAUCGUUACAGGGUGGAGUGUUUUCAGGCAGCAUUUCAGUUUGAACCUGUUCUCGAACCCAGACAAGCCUUUCCAGUGUCUUUGUUUAACAGAAUAAACACACCAAACUGGUCUUCCUCCAUUCUCUCUCCAUGCAUCCUGCUGACAGCUCUGUCAGGAAGGUGUGGAAGUCUGCACUGCAGAUAAUUAUGGCUGAAUUAUGAACAUGAUUAUUGGCCGCCUUCAUGAAAAUGAAAAUGGACACGUGAGGAAGCAUCAGCUCUACGUAUAUACUCUGUAAAGUCACAAUCAGGAUCCUAUUUAGUGGUGUAUUGUUGAGGCUUGUUUUGUGGUUCGGGGACUCUUAUAAAGAUGUAUGGCAUCAUGAAUUCUGUUAAGUACCAGGAUAUACGUUCAUUCAUCUUCAAUACAGGGUCGUAAUGGAUUUCCAGCCUAUUCUGUGAACACUGGGCACAAGUCGGGAAUACACCCUGUCCAUGAUGUAACCAAUCACUGGAGAGGUCAAGAGACACAGCAGCUGUAGCACACCAAAAAUAGAGGUGUAUGUGCUCACUGAGAAAGGAAGACAGAGAAAGAACCACAAGGUGCUGAAUGGAAAAGUACUGCAGUUCGUGUUGACCAAGCAAAGCUGUGGCCAUACCUCUCAUGACAGGAGACGGGAAGAAAUAUUUCAUUAAUUACAGCAGCCUCUGGAAAAUAAUUCUACAGGUGCUCGGAUGGCAAGGGGGCAGGAAUGAAAGAGGCGACUGGAGCCCAACCAGACGAAAUUCCCUGCCUCUAAUUAGAAGAAAGGUCACUUCCUGUCCAGGAAAGACAAGACAUUCCCUAUCCAAAACAUCCAAGAUGACACUAGCAACAACAGUCUCUCUCUCUGUCUCUCUCUCUCUCUCUCAUACACACACACACACACACACACACACUUGGUCGGAGAGGACCUUAUGCUGGCAGCACUACAGUGACCCACAUGAAGUGCUUUCUGUUCUUUUUCAAGACUGCAGAUGGUUGAGUGAGCAGUAAACAGGGAAGAGCACAUUAAAAACACCACCACACUCAUACAAAACUUGUAGAUUAAAGAGACUAUUUCAACAUCA